rnacentral:lncRNA from 1 species
CUCCUCUCGGCCGCGGACCCCCCUCCUCCCGGGGCCGCGCGCCGCUGACCCUCGAGCGGCAUGAGGCUGCCCCGCACGACGUGCUGGCUGCUGCUCUGGCUGCCGCCUCUGGCCGCGCAGCCCGCGGGCGCCGAGCGCGGGGAGGAGGAGGCGGCGGCCGUCUCAGUUUCUAGGUGUAAAGCUUUGAAGGAGAUGGAUUUAAUUGAAGCUUCUCUGUCAGACUGUUACUGCUACAAUCAAAAUUCCCAAGUGGAAUGGAAGUAUAUAUGGUCAACUGUGCAGGUGAAAAUUACCAGUCCAGGCCCGUUCAGUGUUGUAUAUAUCACAGAAAGGUAUAAUUGCCAGUAUCCAGAAACCAUCCUCUCCAUCAUCAGAUGUAUGAUUCAUAACUUUUGGACACCAGAGGAGUCUAAUGAUACAACCAUAAUCAUCCAUCCAUACGGACAGACUGUCUGUUUCUCUGUGAAGCCAGCCAGGAAGAUAUUUAUGUAUACAAUAAGUGUGAAACAAAACAUUGUGGAUUUCAAGCUCGUCUUUGUGUUUGUGGUGGGCAUCUUCCUCUUCUUUUACGCAGAGACCUUGAGUCAAAGCCCCAUUUUCUUUUACUCUUCGGGGACUGUGCUAGGUGUUCUAAUGACAUUAGUCUUUGUCCUGUUGCUGGUGAAGAAGUUCAUUCCUAAGUAUAGCACCUUUUGGGCUCUAAUGCUUGGUUGUUGGUUUGCUUCAGUGUAUAUUCUGGGGCAACUGAUGGAAGAGCUGAAGAGACUGUGGUAUGAAAGCAGAAUGUGUGUAUUAGGCUACGUCCUGACAGUUGGCUGCGUCAGCUUUGCUGUUUGCUACAAGCACGGGCCCCUGGUGGAGGAGAGGGACAUGGUGCUCCUGGCAUGGCUGCUGCGGCUGCUGUCCCUGCUCCUGGUGUACAUGGGGGUGUCCGCGCCCCAGUUCGCCUGCACGGCUGCCCUGCUCCUCGUCCUGGCGUCCGGGAGUCGGUGCUGUCUGCCGAGCGCGCUCGCCUGUGUCGGGAGGAAAAUGAAGAAAUGGUUCACAUCAGAGAAGCUGGCGGUGAAGCUUCUUACUGAAGACCAGUACAGGGAGCAAGCUGAUGCCGCCACAAUCUGCGCCCUGGAGGAGCUCCGCCAGGCCUGCCGCAGCCCCGGCUUCCCAUCCUGGCUGGCGGUCUCCAGGCUCCAGGAGCCGAAAAAGUUUGCGGACUUUGUUCUGGGAGGAAGCCACUUGUCGCCCGAAGAAGUGAGGCUCCAUGAGGAACAAUAUGGCCUUGGGGGCGCCUUCUUGGAAGAGCAGCUCUUUAACCUGAGGACUUGA